rnacentral:rRNA from 1 species
UCGAGAAUUUUUCUCAAUGGGCGCAAGCCUGAAGGAGCGACGCCGCGUGGGGGAUGAAGGGCUUCGGUCCGUAAACCCCUGUCAUUUGCGAACAAACCUUUGCUUUGAACAUUGGCAGAGCUGAUUGUAGCGAAAGAGGAAGGGACGGCUAACUCUGUGCCAGCAGCCGCGGUAAUACAGAGGUCCCGAGCGUUGUUCGGAUUCACUGGGCGUAAAGGGUGCGCAGGUGGGUUGGUAAGUUUGGUGUGAAAGCUUCGGGCUUAACCCGGAAAAUGCAUUGAAAACUACUGAUCUGGAGGGUCGGAGGGGGGACUGGAAUUCUUGGUGUAGCAGUGAAAUGCGUAGAUAUCAAGAGGAACACCAGUGGCGAAGGCGAGUCCCUGGACGAUACCUGACACUGAGGCACGAAAGCCAAGGGAGCAAACAG